CAGCUCUGCCACUUGCUGUGUAACUUGUGCUGCUCAUGGAGCCUCUGUGACCUUCAGUUUCCUUUUCGGGCGCUCUGGACCGCGGCCCCGAGGCCGCUCGCGAAGCUGGCACCGCAGGGGGCUGGGGAUCCUCCGCCCGCCCGCGGAAGAAGGGAGCCGGGUCUGCGCAGACAGCGGGUAAGCGGCGAAGCAACGCGCGCCCCGGCGCCCCCCGCCUCCUCAGGCCCGCAGGGCCGACUUGCUCGGGGGCCCCAGAGCCAGCGCCCCGCCCUCAGACGCCACCCUGCAGGCGUGGGCAGGCCGGGGCUGUCCCGAGCGGGGGAGCGCAGGGUAAUGACUUGCUAAAUAGGCUCGGAUAAAGCCUCAGAGGGGCCAGCGCUGCGCGCCCGAGCCCACACCUCUUGGUCCUCUGCCCGGCCCGCCUGGGCGCCCAGCAUCUCGGCUGCGGCCCCCGCCUCCUCCUCCCCCCGCCCCGCGCCCGCCCGCCCGCAGGGAGCGGCCCCUCCGCCUUGGCCCCAGGUAAGCUGUGCCAGCGCCGGGGUGGGGCGGGCGCUUCCGGGAAAGGCGUCGCUGGUGCUCGGGGACCUCGCCCGGCCGGGCCAAGGCUACCCCGAGCCCCUCUGCAUCCUGGCCGCUGACCGUCCAGCGCUCCAUCCCUUCGGACCACUCCACCCUUCGCAAUUCUUUGUCCCAGCGUUUCCAGGCUGCGUUGCCCUUUUCUUACCCUUCGUGGGGAACUUAGCCCCGGCAACCCCUCUUCCGAGAGGAACCAUGGCCUUUCGCCUCCUUCUCCUGCCUCAGCGCCGCCGGCUGACAACAGAAGGGGCAUCUGGGGCUGGGGACUCAGGCCACGGACCGGUCCCCACUGCAGUUCCACCCUCCCUGACUCAGCCGCGGGCAGCCCUGCCCCCCCAACCCCGGACCCUUCCUUUCGCAGCAGGACAAAGCCCCUCCAGCGCCCCGCUCGCGGCGUGUGGGUGGAGUGGGGAGAGGGGACAAGGGAAGUCUUGUCUCUCGAGAUUCCUGGGAGAGCGUG
rnacentral:lncRNA from 1 species